CCUCAACGACGGCGAACUCGGGCGGA
rnacentral:sRNA from 1 species